UAGUUGGGUUGGUAUGUCAUAUACACAUCAAGAUGCUAUUCUUUGUACGACAUAUCAAUUACCUCAAUACUUUAGAUCCUUCAAAUAUAUUAUUUGUUUCACUUGAGUUGCUAAUAUAUACGACUCAUUCUGGUACCAUGUUCAUGCAAAAUUUAUACUAAUAAAGUAUGGAUUGAUAUGAAUAUUGAUCUUUUUAUUGCUAAUAUCCCAUCAUUCAUACUG
rnacentral:lncRNA from 1 species